rnacentral:lncRNA from 1 species
GAAAGACCCAUUAGAGUCCAUUCAUAUGUUUUCCUCAGAUCUAAAAGUAUGAUUCAAUAUACACUGUAUAGAGGCUAUGUUUGUUUUUUUUACAUAUAUGGGAGUGUAAAAAUUGAAGUAGAAAAAGAUUAGAAACUGGGGUUUUAGAGAGUAGGAUGAGGAAUGCUGAUAGGGGAAAAGAAUAUUAGCAAAAUAGGAAAGUAAGACCAAAGUGCCUUAUAUACACUCAGUGAAAUAUCAUAAUAAAGUCCAGUGUCUCAUGUAACUAAGAGAAAAAAGUCUAGCUAUAAGUAGAAGACAAUCAUACUCUUUUAUGUGUGAAAUACAUACUUGUGGCAAUGAAAUAAAUAAUCGUGUGCUGAAGAAGUGCUAAGGAAUAUAGCUUUUACAGUAGCUCUGAAUUCCAUUCCCACACCUGGCAGCUUACCAAUGCCUGUAAUUCAAGCUUAUGAUGACUGAACUCCCUUCUUACCUCACAAGGCGUCUGUACUCACAGACAGAUAUACUCAUAGAUAAUCAGACAACAUACAUUAAAAAAAUCCUUUAAAAGUAUAUAAUGCAGAUGUCAUGAACAACAAAUUCAAUUUGGAAUUCAUUUUAUUCUGUAUAUUAAACUAUGUGACCAUUUGAUUAGAAGACGCCUAAAAAAUACUUGGUACUAUGGAAGACAGAUUGCUUUUUUGUAUUAAUCCACAAAGAUAGCUACAUGUAGCAAAUGCUUGAGUUUGUUUCUGAAAAGUCCCAUAUCCAUGAGAAAUAGUGUUAGUGACAUGAGAGAAAAGCUGAAAAUGCAGUUUUAGUGCAAACAGCAAUAUGAACCUAAAGAACAGAUUAAUGUUUUUGUUGUAAUUAUUUAAUAUAAAAUUCUAAAAUAGAAUAGAAUAAACUAUGUCUUAAAAACACAAUUAAUUAGAAUGGGAUUAAAAUGGGAAGACAGAAAGUGGAAAUAAAAUAUAAUGAACUAUAUUGCAUGCAGUGAAGCUGAGUCAUUUUACUCAAUUUUUAUCUUAGGGAUAUUUGUUUUGAUGUUCAGGUGUAUCCUCUGGAUUUCUCAGUAUGGUAUUAUGGGUCAAUUUCUGAUGUUUGAGAGCCACUAGGAAAAACAAAUAACUCAUACUUACAUUUAUCAUGUAUCAGACACUCUUCAAAAACACUUUGAUUAUACUAACUGAACUAACAGCACCAUGGGAUGAAAUCUCCUAUGGCUCCUGUUUACAACCAAAAAAGAUAGAAAUCAUCACUCAGCAAAUAAAUUGUUGAAAAGAUUUUAGGCAAAAAUGGCUGUUUGCUGAGCCUAUAAUCUAAGGAUUUUGUCAAAGAGAACAGAGAGUCCAGGGUAAAUGCUGGCUGCUUGACUUUCAGUAUGAUACACUAUUAUUCUGCUUCAUCAGUGUCUCUCUCUUUUUAGGCUAAAUUCCAGUCUUGGGUCAGAAUUUUCUGACUUACAUUUUAUGGAUCAUUUGUCUAGUCUGAAUGAGGUCACACAUUUCUUCUCACAGGAGUUAGAUUUUUAAAUUUGCGGUUCAAUAUUAGGGCAGCCUUCCAAGACACUCUACGGCACUGGGUUCGAUCCCCAGUACUGGUCUGU